AAGCGGCACGCCGUAAUCCCCCUGCAGGCGGCAGUGGAAAGAAACCGGUGGUUUGUAAUGGUAAAACAUGUAAACCGAAUGAGUACUGCGAGGACUAUUUUGUAUCGCCCCCGCAAUGUGCUGUGAAAGACCCGCUUGGACGAUGAUGACAAGUUGCUGCCCAUGAAGAAAUAUCGGGUCUGAAAAGAAACGUGAAGCUUGGAAAAAGCGCUAUAGGAACAUGAACAGCAUCAUCCUGUUGAUCGACUGAAUAAAGUUACUUG